AAACGUCUUGAACAAUAAACGAGCCACACAAGCAGAAGACGUUCUGACAUCCUCUUUCAAAAAAGGAGGAAGAAUAAAUGCAGCUGGUUGGUUUUAUACGACUGGAGCUUUUGAACAGAGUGGAUGGUUAUUUGAUCUGCUGCUGAUGGAGUGAAAUUCAAGAUUUACUAGAUUUAACUGAAGAAUUUUAAAUUUAAGGUCUGAGAGAAGAUGAAGGACUAUCACAGUCUGUCUGAGAACAUGUUGACAGUCAACAUGUUACUGAGUGUCUUCUUUCUUUCAGGUGGCUUUGCUGAUCAUUGUGGUCGUCAUUCACCUUCCUUUGUCAUUGCAACACCAAAGUCCAUGGUAGCACUGAGUGGAUCUUGUUUGCAAGUCCCAUGUAGCUUCACAGUUCAACAAGCAGAAAAAGAUUUUAACAGUGGAAAACAAACCUCUGCAGCUUGGAUUCCAAGUAAUAAGGAUAUUUUUGACAUCAGUCAGGGAUUUAAUAACCAUCAAAUAAAUAUUACUGGAAACAUAAAAGAGAAAAAUUGCACCACUGUGUUUUCUGAUAUAAAUACAACACAAGAAACGGAAUAUUUCCUCAGAAUAGAGAUGGAUAAAUACAAAGGAACAGGUUGUUCUACUCCUUUAAAGAUUACAGGUCAAGGUAAGACUUUUACU